rnacentral:piRNA from 1 species
UCGGAUCAACAUCAAUAGAAU